rnacentral:rRNA from 1 species
AACUUUCAACAACGGAUCUCUUGGCUCUCGCAUCGAUGAAGAACGCAGCGAAAUGCGAUAAGUAAUGUGAAUUGCAGAAUUCAGUGAAUCAUCGAAUCUUUGAACGCACAUUGCGCCUUUUGGUAUUCCGAAAGGCAUGCCUGUUUGAGUGUCAU